rnacentral:rRNA from 1 species
GGGCCCGCACAAGCGGUGGAGCAUGUGGUUUAAUUCGAUGAUACGCGAGGAACCUUACCAGGGGCUUAAAUGUAAGUUGCAUGGAUCAGAGAUGAUCCUUUCUUCGGACUACUUACAAGGUGCUGCAUGGUUGUCGUCAGCUCGUGCCGUGAGGUGUCAGGUUAAGUCCUAUAACGAGCGCAACCCCUAUCGUUAGUUGCCAGCAAGUAAAGUUGGGUACUCUAGCGAGACUGCCGGUGCAAACCGAGAGGAAGGUGGGGAUGACGUCAAAUCAUCACGGCCCUUACGUCCUGGGCUACACACGUGCUACAAUGGCCGGUACAGAGAGCAGCCACCACGCGAGUGGGAGCGAAUCUUCAAAACCGGUCUCAGUUCGGAUCGCAGUCUGCAACUCGACUGCGUGAAGCUGGAAUCGCUAGUAAUCG